rnacentral:rRNA from 1 species
GCGUUAUCCGGAAUUAUUGGGCGUAAAGCGCGCGCAGGUGGUUUCUUAAGUCUGAUGUGAAAGCCCACGGCUCAACCGUGGAGGGUCAUUGGAAACUGGGAGACUUGAGUGCAGAAGAGGAAAGUGGAAUUCCAUGUGUAGCGGUGAAAUGCGUAGAGAUAUGGAGGAACACCAGUGGCGAAGGCGACUUUCUGGUCUGUAACUGACACUGAGGCGCGAAAGCGUG